rnacentral:rRNA from 1 species
CCUACGGGUGGCAGCAGUGGGGAAUAUUUCACAAUGUGGUAAACCCUGAUUCCUCCCCUCCUCUUUCGUGAAGAAGGUUUUCGGAUUGUAAAGCUCUGUUAGCAGGGAAGAGGAAGGACGGUACCUGCAGAGUAAGCCACGGCUAACUACGUGCCAGCAGCCGCGGUAAUACGUAGGUGGCAAGCGUUGUUCGGAAUAACUGGGCGUAAAGGAUGCGUAGGCGGUUAAACAAGUUAUAUGUUAAAUAUAUAGGCUUAACCUGUAGAAAGCAUAUAAAACUGUUUAACUAGAGUGCAGGAGAGGUAAGUGGAAUGCCUAGUGUAGCGGUGAAAUGCGUAGAGAUUAGGAAGAACACCAGUGGCGAAGGCGACUUACUGGACUGUAACUGACGCUGAGGCAUGAGAGCAUGGGGAGCAAACAGGAUUAGAUACCCGUGUAGUC